rnacentral:rRNA from 1 species
ACUAGGGAUCGGACGAUGUUAUUUUUUGACUCGUUCGGCACCUUACGAGAAAUCAAAGUGCUUGGGCUCCAGGGGGAGUAUGGUCGCAAGGCUGAAACUUAAAGAAAUUGACGGAAGGGCACCACCAGGGGUGGAGCCUGCGGCUUAAUUUGACUCAACACGGGGAAAUCACCAGGUCCAGACACAAUGAGGAUUGACAGAUUGAGAGCUCUUUCUUGAUUUGUGG